rnacentral:rRNA from 1 species
GAGGAAUAUUGGUCAAUGGGCGCGAGCCUGAACCAGCCAAGUAGCGUGCAGGAUGACGGCCCUAUGGGUUGUAAACUGCUUUUGUAUGGGGAUAAAGUCAAUCACGUGUGAUUGUUUGCAGGUACCAUACGAAUAAGGACCGGCUAAUUCCGUGCCAGCAGCCGCGGUAAUACGGAAGGUCCGGGCGUUAUCCGGAUUUAUUGGGUUUAAAGGGAGCGUAGGCCGGAGAUUAAGUGUGUUGUGAAAUGUAGACGCUCAACGUCUGACUUGCAGCGCAUACUGGUUUCCUUGAAUACGCACAACGUUGGCGGAAUUCGCCGUGUAGCGGUGAAAUGCUUAGAUAUGACGAAGAACUCCGAUUGCGAAGGCAGCUGACGGGAGCGCAACUGACGCUUAAGCUCGAAGGUGCGGGUAUCGAACAGGAUUAGAUACCCUGGUAGUCCGCACAGUAAACGAUGGAUGCCCGCUGUUGGUACCUGGUAUCAGCGGCUAAGCGAAAGCAUUAAGCAUCCCACCUGGGGAGUACGCCGGCAACGGUG